AGUGAACGCUGGCGGUAGGCCUAACACAUGCAAGUUGAACGGCAGCACAGUAAGAGCUUGCUCUUACGGGUGGCGAGUGGCGGACGGGUGAGGAAUACAUCGGAAUCUACUUUUUCGUGGGGGAUAACGUAGGGAAACUUACGCUAAUACCGCAUACGACCUACGGGUGAAAGCAGGGGAUCUUCGGACCUUGCGCGAUUGAAUGAGCCGAUGUCGGAUUAGCUAGUUGGCGGGGUAAAGGCCCACCAAGGCGACGAUCCGUAGCUGGUCUGAGAGGAUGAUCAGCCACACUGGAACUGAGACACGGUCCAGACUCCUACGGGAGGCAGCAGUGGGGAAUAUUGGACAAUGGGCGCAAGCCUGAUCCAGCCAUACCGCGUGGGUGAAGAAGGCCUUCGGGUUGUAAAGCCCUUUUGUUGGGAAAGAAAAACAGCAGGUUAAUACCCCGCUGUUCUGACGGUACCCAAAGAAUAAGCACCGGCUAACUUCGUG
rnacentral:rRNA from 1 species